UACGGAGGAUGCGAGCGUUAUCCGGAUUUAUUGGGUUUAAAGGGUGCGUAGGCGGGCUUUAAGUCAGCGGUAAAAAUUCGGGGCUCAACCCCGUCCGGCCGUUGAAACUGGGGGUCUUGAGUGGGCGAGAAGAAGGCGGAAUGCGUGGUGUAGCGGUGAAAUGCAUAGAUAUCACGCAGAACCCCGAUUGCGAAGGCAGCCUUCCGGCGCCCUACUGACGCUGAGGCACGAAAGUGCGGGGAUCGAACAGG
rnacentral:rRNA from 1 species